AUACGUAGGGUGCAAGCGUUAAUCGGAAUUACUGGGCGUAAAGCGUGCGCAGGCGGUUUUGUAAGACAGUGGUGAAAUCCCCGGGCUCAACCUGGGAACUGCCAUUGUGACUGCAAGGCUGGAGUGCGGCAGAGGGGGGUGGAAUUCCGCGUGGAGCAGUGGAAUGCGUAGAUAUGCGGAGGAACACCGAUGGCGAAGGCAAUCCCCUGGGCCUGCACUGACGCUCAUGCACGAAAGCGUGGGGAGCAAACAGGAUUAGAUACCCUGGUAGUCCACGCCCUAAACGAUGUCAACUGGUUGUUGGGGAUUUAUUUUCUCAGUAACGAAGCUAACGCGUGAAGUUGACCGCCUGGGGAGUACGGCCGCAAGGUUAAAACUCAAAUGAAUUGACGGGG
rnacentral:rRNA from 1 species